rnacentral:lncRNA from 1 species
AGAUUGUGAACAAGUUAACCAAUAUAGUAUGGAUUAUUAGAACUAUGAUAUAAUUUUUGUUAUGAAUCGAUUCUUGGACUUGUUUGAAACUGUUAUAAAAGGGGUAGCACUAAUAACAUCUUUGUUGACCGGUUAGUUCAAAUUGAUACAUAAAAAGUUUCUAAAGGAUAAUGCUAGGGUGAACUAGAAAAUGACAAGGAUAGGCAGUGAAGGCUUAACUUAGGCACAAACCUAAGUUUGGGGGAAUACAUGUGGGAUAUAAAAAAGAAAAAGAAAACAUGUUGAGUCUUGUGGUGGGUUGAGGAGAAACACUCCCCAUAAACACAAGCGUGAGAUGGAGUGUAAAACGCACUCACUAUUCAAAAAAAAAAGAAAAAGAAAAAGAAAAGGGAAGUAAUCACGGGAAAAGAGCAAAAAGCCCCCGUGUAAAAAAAGAACAAAAAAAGAGAGAAGGAAGAAAAGAAAGUAUAAGUAUCCUGCAUGUACCCUUGAAUUUGGUUGAGUUUAAUUUUAGUUGAAUCGUGCCUAUCUUUGAGAUUUUUGAGUUUGCACUGUAUGAUUCCUUCUAAGAAGUUGUUUAUGUAUUGAAUUUGGGUCCUUAUCAGUUAUAUUAGAUGUUGUUCACACACGCACGCUAUACCAGUAAUAGUUGUUCAAGAAUUGAGAAUUAAUACGUAAUUGUGGAUUGGUUUUGAUAAUUUGUUUUGUUAAGUUGCUUGUUUUCUCUGAGGCCUAUGGGAUAAGUCAGUUUAUGCGAUG